rnacentral:rRNA from 1 species
AUGGCGAAACUCAUGUGCUUAUGUUUCAUCAUCCUCACUAUUGGGGUAGCCGUGUCGGCUGACGAAUGCGAGGCAAAUCCGAAGCUAGAUCCAUCGGAUGCAUGUUGCGCUGUGUGGCAAAAGGCAAACAUCCCAUGCCUUUGCGCUGGUGUCACCAAGGAGAAAGAGAAGAUAUAUUGUAUGGAGAAGGUUGGCUACGUUGCCAAUUUCUGCAAGAAGCCGUUCCCACAUGGCUACAAGUGCGGAAGUUACACAUUCCCUCCUCUGGAGUAG